rnacentral:rRNA from 1 species
AACGAACGCUGGCGGCAUGCCUAACACAUGCAAGUCGAACGAGACCUUCGGGUCUAGUGGCGCACGGGUGCGUAACGCGUGGGAACCUGCCCUUAGGUUCGGAAUAACUCCCCGAAAGGGGUGCUAAUACCGGAUAAUGUCUUCGGACCAAAGAUUUAUCGCCUUUGGAUGGGCCCGCGUUGGAUUAGCUAGUUGGUAGGGUAAAAGCCUACCAAGGCGACGAUCCAUAGCUGGUCUGAGAGGAUGAUCAGCCACACUGGGACUGAGACACGGCCCAGACUCCUACGGGAGGCAGCAGUGGGGAAAAUGGGACAAUGGGCGAAAGCCUGAGCCAGCAAGGCCGCGUGAGUGAUGAAGGCCUUAGGGUGGUAAAGCUCUUUUACCCGGGAUGAUAAGGACAGUACCGGGAGAAGAAGCACCGGCGAACUCCGU